ACCUACGGGGGGCAGCAGUGAGGAAUAUUGGUCAAUGGUCGGGAGACUGAACCAGCCAAGCCGCGUGAGGGAUGAAGGUACAGAGUAUCGUAAACCUCUUUUGUCAGGGAACAAAGGCGGGGACGUGUCCCCGGAUGAGUGUACCUGAAGAAAAAGCAUCGGCUAACUCCGUGCCAGCAGCCGCGGUAAUACGGAGGAUGCGAGCGUUAUCCGGAUUUAUUGGGUUUAAAGGGUGCGCAGGCGGUCUGUUAAAUCAGCGGUCAAAGCCCGGGGCUCAACCCCGGCCCGCCGUUGAAACUGGCAGG
rnacentral:rRNA from 1 species